UAAAGUGCUUAUUGCUCUGUACGACGACAUUGGUUAUUAAAUAACACGGCGUUAUAUACGUGUGAGUGCAUCCCUCUCUUCGAACGAAAGAAGAACACGUUCAUCGUGUAUACGCACGCGCCGCCUAGAGGCCAAGUAGUGCGUUGACCUUCGCUAAGGAAGUGCCCAUGUCCCCAGGCCGGGUCACACUCGAGUCUUGCGAUCGUAGGAAAACAUGUACGACAGAAGUAUACACAACACGAGUCGCGAACUCAUUUUGAAGAUACGUUCACAUCGAAACAGUUAAAAGAGUUAAAGUAUAACAUAUACAUUUUCAUGCUUCAUAUACGAAAUAAGAGAAAUCAAAAAAGAUACUUUUUUCAAUAUAAUAUUAUGGUUUCGUCUCCUUCCGGAGCUUUCUUCUUCUGCUGCCCUGCUUCCAAGUAUUUGCUAAAGGCGGUACGACGUUACAAGAGACUCCACCCAUAAGGCUGACAUGAACACGUCCAGUACUUGGAUCCUUCUCUUUUAGAUAACACCUUACCAAGAAGGAUGUAAAGGUAUCAUGGAUAUGUAGAUAUUGUUCCUUUUCAAUGAACUGGUCUUUUCAGAUACUCCUACAUUACGACCUUAUAAAAUAAUCAACGUUAUAUUA